UUAGAGACAGGGUCUUGCUCCAUCACCCAGGCUGGAGUUCAGUGGCAUAUUCACAGCUCGCUGCAGCUUUCACCUUCCAGGUUCAAGUUGUCUUCCCACCUCAGCCUCCCAAGUAGCUGGGACCACAGGAGGAAAUCUCUUCACUGCUGGCACUGACAAUGGAAGACUGAGGGUGCCCGGGAUCCUUCACCCCCACAUCCAGUGAGUCCACGGAACCCAGGGUAACUGGGAUGGUAUCUGAUUGCUGUUGAAUAUCUUUAAUAUACCAAAACCUGCAAGGUGCUAGACAUACAAGAAAAAAUCCAAAUCUGUUGUUCUCCUUGUCUCGGAGCUGACCCUUUCCAGCAGAUGAUAUCACCUCUAAGGUCUCAAAACUUUUCUUUUGAGUUAUUGAUAGCUUUUAACAAUUUAUUUUACUCCUAAGGACAAAAUUUGGGGCAUAUUUGUUUCUCUCGACCUGAUUUCUGCAGAAU
rnacentral:lncRNA from 1 species